GCACCUUUCGCCACUCCGGCACAAGCCGACACAGCUUUGCGAUCUCGCCAGCAUGCAGAGUCUGAUGUCUUCCCUAUAGAUGAUUCCAGAGACUCUGUGAGGCCACUAUUACAAGGUGAGACGCUUUGCGUUGAUUGGUGCUGCUGGACCACACUGGAGGUGCGAGUCCGCCGUGUAAUGGUUUAUGCCAUUACAAAGGAGCUGGCCUCUGUACUCAACUGGGCAGGGGGAAAAACAAAGGACCAGACAAAGCAAAAAAGGGCAUUUAAAGAGACAGCGCUGUGCAGAUGCAUAUUUUGUAAGUUUUAACAUUUAUUGUAGUUUUAUGAGCCUAAAGUGAACAAUAAAGGGAUCAAUUGAUGUGCUGGGUGCGUUUCACAUUUCCUAUGUCUGUUUUUUGCUAUAUUACUUUGUCUUUCUUAACAAGACUUUCAUGUCCGGUUAAUCUGGAGAUGGAGUCUUUGGUCUUCGGCUUGUUUUGUCCUCGGGUUGUACACUUUGUACAGCCAGAGGACCCCAUGUUUUCUUUUUUCUUUUUUUUUUUUUUAAAGGAUACACGGCACACCAUGCUAAGACAUAUCACAUUUUCAGCUUAUAGCUCUUUGGGAAUCAAAUGCAGCAGUUUGCUGAUUUCCGCCUGGUGACUUUCAUGUUUAUCAGCCUAGGAGUUUACAUACUUUCUCCCUGCUGAAGACAAUUAACAAGAGCUUAUUCAUGUGCUCUAA
ensembl:lncRNA